rnacentral:rRNA from 1 species
UACAGAGGGUGCGAGCGUUAAUCGGAUUUACUGGGCGUAAAGCGUGUGUAGGUGGUUUUUCAAGUCGGUUGUGAAAUCCCCGGGCUCAACCUGGGAACUGCUUCCGAGACUGAAAGACUAGAGUACGGUAGAGGGUGGUGGAAUUUCCGGUGUAGCGGUGAAAUGCGUAGAUAUCGGAAGGAACAUCAAUGGCGAAGGCAGCCACCUGGGACUUUACUGACACUGAUACACGAAAGCGUGGGUAUCAAACAGG